UACGUAGGUGGCAAGCGUUGUCCGGAAUUAUUGGGCGUAAAGCGCGCGCAGGCGGUUUGUCGCGUCUGCCGUGAAAUUUCGAGGCUCAACCUCGAACUUGCGGUGGGUACGGGCAGACUAGAGUGUGGUAGGGGAGACUGGAAUUCCUGGUGUAGCGGUGAAAUGCGCAGAUAUCAGGAGGAACACCGAUGGCGAAGGCAGGUCUCUGGGCCACUACUGACGCUGAGAAGCGAAAGCAUGGGGAGCGAACAGG
rnacentral:rRNA from 1 species